rnacentral:ncRNA from 2 species
AGAGGGGGUAGAGGCGCGGCAUUUAUGAUGAACGUAUCCGAGGCUAAGGGGAGCCGUAGAAGGUGCGCGUAAGGAACUGCCGCCGAAGUGUGUCUGGCACCCUUGUCAGGCAUGCUGGGACCGUUUCCGAAAAGGGGCGGGACUGUCACAUGCGUCAAUGCAUGUGUUGUGCUAUCGGUGGA